UACAGAGGGUGCGAGCGUUGUUCGGAAUUAUUGGGCGUAAAGGGCGCGUAGGCGGUCAGCACUAGUCAGUUGUGAAAUCUCCGGGCUUAACUCGGAAAGGUCAACUGAUACUGUGCGACUAGAGUGCGGAAGGGGCAACUGGAAUUCUCGGUGUAGCGGUGAAAUGCGUAGAUAUCGAGAGGAACACCUGCGGCGAAGGCGGGUUGCUGGGCUGACACUGACGCUGAGGCGCGAAAGCCAGGGGAGCGAACGGG
rnacentral:rRNA from 1 species